rnacentral:rRNA from 1 species
UACGUAGGGGCCGAGCGUUGUCCGGAGUUAUUGGGCGUAAAGCGCGCGCAGGCGGCCUCGCGCGCCCGACGUGAAAGCCCCCGGCUUAACCGGGGAGGGUCGUUGGGGACGGCGGGGCUUGAGGGCGGGAGAGGUCGGUGGAAUUCCCGGUGUAGUGGUGAAAUGCGUAGAUAUCGGGAGGAACACCUGUGGCGAAAGCGGCUCACUGGACCAUUACUGACGCUGAUGCUCGAAAGCUAGGGGAGCAAACAGG